rnacentral:lncRNA from 1 species
AAUUAUCCAAUAAAUAUAUAUAUAAUAUUCAAAAUGUACACAUAAAUUAACAAAGUACAAUAAUAAAAUCCUAAUACAAGAGUAUUGUGGUGGUAGUGGCGGAUGAUAUGUUUUGAUAGCUUCCUAAUCCUCAACUUUAGCCAUCAAAGUCUUGAUGAUUACCUACAAAAAAAACAAAUAUGGUCAAAUAACAAAAAAAAGAAAAAAAAAGAAUGCAUAAUCUCCCCUAAAAUUGUUAUACCACAAAUCCAACCCAAACUCCAAUCUCUCCCCUUUACUCAACCCCAAACCCCAC